CGAGAACUAAACUGAACAUCAGAACUUAACUUAGGGAUCAAAAAAGGGUUUAAACCAAUAAAUAAAGCCUAGGAAACUAAGAUGCAGUGUCAUCUGCUCCUUCCAAACCUGUCUCCAGUGGAACCUCAUCUUCCUCUGCUCACAUCCUAGUAGAAGAUCAUUGCAAAAGAAAACACACGCAUAUAUGGCACAAACACAGAAAAGCAAGGGUGAGCUAACUAUAUAAAAAAAAGAAGCAUACAACAUAGGAGCAUGUACAUACAAGAGUUUAACUUACAGUAAACAAGAUAAAACAUCCAUCCUAUCAUGUUAAAUACUAUACUUGACUCGUUCGGACUUUAGAAUGAUAGUCGAGUUAUAACGGGUCAUGCACCCAUGGUGGCUUAUGAAACUUGGGUUCCCCACCCUGCCACACUCACGAGGUUAGUAUGUUCCGCGCCUUGGAGCAUACUAGAAGCCUCCAAGACUAAGACCUCCUACUACUCCUCAUCACAUGGUCCAAUCCUCUCUACGUGAGAAGAAAUGGCCAUUGGAGCGUCAGGAAGACUCCCAAGACUGAGCUCGUACUUUCAUUCUAAAACACUAAGAAUCUCACCAAGAGAUUCUACACAGAUGGAACUUGGUUUACCACUUGGAUCGUACUUUCAUCACUUUGUAAUCAUAUACUUUUUCCAAAAUAAACAUAUACAUAAUCUAAAUAAUAAACAUUCUCAAAACAAUCAUUACAAAACCAAAAAAUAACGACAAGUCAAUCCAAAAUAAAAUAGUCAAUUAUUUACUAAACACACACCCCUAUUUUUCUAAGUCCUGUGAAAACUCUUUCACGAACCCCACUCUAUAUCCAAAAUAUUAAACUAAGUUAUAUGUACUUAGGUGGCCCCACAUGGUUAAUCUAUUUUACUAAACUCAUCCUAUAAAUUCUUACGUAAACACCCAUCACUUUUCAUACUUUUAUUUUAUUUCCUUUUAAACACUCAAGUGGACCCCACAGUUCAUUAAUUUCUCGACUUUACUACCCAACACUUAUUUUAUUCAUACAAUCUUCUCCACUAAUCUACGAAACCUCUCUCCCAUUUUUCAAUAACAACACACAAGCUCAUUAAAAUAAAACAUUAUAUGCCUAUCAAGUAAACCCAAAAUAAUACAUAGACUAAUUAAUACAUAAUAUCAGUAAAUACAUAUAUAAAAUAUUAUAUAUUGUUAAUCUAAAAAACAAAAUACUAAUUAAAGAAGACAAAAGCUAUAGCAUAUUAAGCUUUCUGCCGUGACUUUGAAAAUAAGAGAAAAUGUUAUUUUAAUAUACCAUUCAACUACAAGAUUUUAAUGAAAAGAAAAGUAAAUGAGAAUGCACCAAAUUCUGUCACUUUUACAUGAAAUUACAAAGGUAAGUUCAAACUUCAUCCAUUUAAAAAAAUAUUUUAUAUUAUUUCCACCAAAACUUUUGUUGCACCAAUAAGAGACUCUCCAUGUAAUCAUUACCCUAUUCCAAUUUCUUAAACUUACCCUACUAACUUUCUAUUAAGGCUUAAAUGCUUACUUGGUCUCUAUGUUAGGAGGAAAUUUUCAGUUGAGUAGCCGGUUUUAAAAAUGUAUACAUUGAAUCCCUAUGUUUUGCAAUUUGUAUCAAUUCCAUCCUAUUCGUUUAACGGUGUUAAAAUAGAUAACAUUAAACUCACUAUACAUGUGAGGUGGGUGAGAAAUGGUCACGUGUCGU
rnacentral:lncRNA from 1 species